UUGCGAGUGAAGCGGCAACAGCUCAAAUUUGAAAUCUGGCCCCAGGCCCGAGUUGUAAUUUGUAGAAGGCGUUUCGGGCGAGGCCCCGGCCCAAGUCCCUUGGAACAGGGCGUCGCAGAGGGUGAGAAUCCCGUACGCGGCCGACGGCCGAGCCCAUGUGAAACCCUUUCGACGAGUCGAGUUGUUUGGGAAUGCAGCUCUAAAUGGGUGGUAAAUUUCAUCUAAAGCUAAAUAUCUGCCGGAGACCGAUAGCGCACAAGUAGAGUGAUCGAAAGAUGAAAAGCACUUUGAAAAGAGAGUCAAACAGUACGUGAAAUUGUUGAAAGGGAAGCGCUUGCAACCAGACUCGUUCGCGGGUGCUCAGCCGUCCCUCGGGGCGGUGCAUUCUCCCGCGUUUCGGGCCAGCAUCGGUUUCGGCGGCCGGACAAAGGCCCCGGGAACGUAGCUCUCCUCGGGGAGUGUUAUAGCCCGGGGUGCAAUGCGGCCAGCCGGGACCGAGGGCCGCGCAUAGCUAGGAUGCGAGGAUUCUC
rnacentral:rRNA from 1 species